rnacentral:rRNA from 1 species
CCACUGCUGUUGGGGUUCGGCUAAGCCAUGCGAGUGGAGGGCGCGGUCGAAAGAUCGUGGCCCCGCACACGGCUCAGUAACACGUAGUCAACCUACCUUAGGGUCGGGGGACAACCUCGGGAAACUGAGGAUAAUCCCCCAUAGGCGGGGGAGGCUGGAAUGCGCCCCCGCUGAAAGCUCAGGCGCCCUAGGACGGGACGGCGGCCUAUCAGGUAGUUGGUGGUGUGACG